rnacentral:sRNA from 1 species
ACGGGCACGGACGCCCGUGGUUCCAAACAGAAACGAGUUUAAAAACUACCACACUUCUAUAAUAAUAGAAGUUUUUAAACUCGUGGGUUAGUUUUUGACACGGACGUCAAAAACUAACCAGGG